rnacentral:lncRNA from 1 species
ACUAGCGGCAGCGGCAGAAAAUAAAGCUAGGGCAGAAGAAAAUUCUUUGAUGUUCUGAUUAAAAACAGCCGCAACGGACAAUCAAAGACAUGAAAACGGAAUCGCCGCUGCCGCUGAAAUUUCGAGCGUCGUAUUUGCUGGGUUGAAGUUGACGCAGCGACUUGAAAAAUGGAGGAUGUGAUUGUUUUUACAAAACCCAGCGACAACGAUGAUAGUUAUUUGCUUUAUAUUUU